rnacentral:rRNA from 1 species
AUUGAACGCUGGCGGCAGGCCUAACACAUGCAAGUCGAGCGGAUGAAGGGAGCUUUCUCCUGGAUUCAGCGGCGGACGGGGGAGUAAUGCCUAGGAAUCUGCCUGGUUGUGGGGGAUAACGUCCGGAAACGGGCGCUAAUACCGCAUACGUCCUGAGGGAGAAAGAUGGGGAUCUUCGGACCUCACGCUAUCAGAUGAGCCUAUGUCGGAUUAGAUAGUUGGUGGGGUAAGGGCCUACCAAGGCGACGAUCCGUAACUGGUCUGAGAGGAUGAUCAGUCACACUGGAACUGAGACACGGUCCAUACUCCUACGGGAGGCAGCAGUGGGGAAUAGUGGACAGUGGGCGGAAGCCUGAUCCAGCCAUGCCGCGUGUGUGAAGAAGGUCUUCGGAUUGUAAAGCACGUUAAGUUGGGAGAAAGGGCAGUAAGUUAAUACCUUGCUGGUUUGACGUUACCAACAGAAGAAGCACCGGCUAACUUCGUG